CUGGCUCAGAACGAACGCUGGCGGCAGGCCUAACACAUGCAAGUCGAACGCUCUCUUCGGAGGGAGUGGCAGACGGGUGAGUAACACGUGGGAACCUACCCCUUGGUACGGAAUAACUGAUGGAAACGUUAGCUAAUACCGUAUGAGCGCUGAGGCGGAAAGAUUUAUCGCCAAGGGAUGGGCCCGCGUAGGAUUAGCU
rnacentral:rRNA from 1 species